rnacentral:rRNA from 1 species
GAGUUUGAUCAUGGCUCAGGACGAACGCUGGCGGCGUGCCUAAUACAUGCAAGUCGAGCGGACGGAUGGGAGCUUGCUCCCUGAAGUUAGCGGCGGACGGGUGAGUAACACGUGGGCAACCUGCCUGUAAGACUGGGAUAACUUCGGGAAACCGGAGCUAAUACCGGAUAAUCCUCUUUCCCGCAUGGGAAAGAGCUGAAAGAUGGCUUCGGCUAUCACUUACAGAUGGGCCCGCGGCGCAUUAGCUAGUUGGUGAGGUAACGGCUCACCAAGGCGACGAUGCGUAGCCGACCUGAGAGGGUGAUCGGCCACACUGGGACUGAGACACGGCCCAGACUCCUACGGGAGGCAGCAGUAGGGAAUCUUCCGCAAUGGACGAAAGUCUGACGGAGCAACGCCGCGUGAGCGAAGAAGGCCUU